UCCCGGCCCCAAACCGGGCUGCGACUGCGGGGGAGCGGCUGUGCCGAGCUGAGAGCCGGGCGGGGCAGGCGUGGCGGGGGCGGCCGCAGCCGAUAUGGAACAUUCCAGCGAUCCAUUGGAACACAAAAUUUUAACAUACAGAUUUAUGCAAGAGGGAUGACUGCAAAGUGCAUUGCAUGAGUAGAGUAAGAAGCUGAAAAUUGCUGCUGUUGUAGCUGUCAUACGCACGUUAUUUUCUUUGGUAUGUGUGGAGAUUUCGCUGUCAGGCUUUUAUCCUCCAGAUUGUUUGUGCUGUACCUCUCUUCCUCCUUAAAAUAGAAAAUCAGUCACUGAACCUGGAUGCUAUUAAGUGUUCUUAGAAUAAUUCUUAACUAAGUUGGUUGAUUUUCACUUUCUGAUGAAAGAACAUUUGGUUGUUUAUUGCAGGCUCUAAAUAAACAUGUUUUUCCAAAAUCAACAGAUAAGAUUACAAAUUACAUUCCAUCCACAGAAUUGUUUACCAUAGGUAUAUUCCUUGCCAUAUAAUAUUUAUCAUUUUAGUUGUUAUGUUUUUUAUUUUGAAAGAUCUGGAGUUUAUCGUCAUCUAACAUUGUGUCUUAACUACAUUUUGCAGGGGUUAACAGGGAAUGUGGAUGUUUUAUGGACCUCAGAGGAGGAGUGGGGCAACAAAUAAUCUCAUGUGUUUGGUAGGAUUGUUAUUUUAAAUCCAGCCCAUUACCCAGCCUUUUUGCACUAGCUUUUUAUCUGACAUUCCCUACUGGCCCAAAACAAUAUAUUUCAUAUACCUCCAAACAUAAAAAUCUUUUCAGGUUUUUAUAGUCCCUUGUCCCCCUGGAAUUACAGAUGCAUCCUUUUUCAGGAAGCACAUACAACUGUGGUCUGAAGUGCUGGAGUACUUGAUUUCUUGGUAUGAUAAAAUUGUCCUUUGCUUUUUCAAGCUUUCCCUCUCUGCUCUGUAGAUAAGUUCUUUAGCUGAAAAAAUGAAAUAUGAAAAAAACCAGACUUGUUAAUGUGUAUGCUAUUUCAUCACACUGUUGUUUAGUUCUGGCUGGUAUUCUGCAGAAGACCAGAGUGUGGUCGUAGUGAUAUCAGUUAGCCUCAACAUUUUAUUUAUGUAAAUGAUAGGGGAGAAAAUGUCCAGUUCAAGAAAGCAGAGAUGAUUCUUGCUUAGUAGGAGAUUAAAGCAUUACUGUCAUUAUUAUUUGUUCUUAUUUCUCCAGAGGAUCUGGGUCUUGAUUAUGAUUCCGUUGUGGUAAGUGCCUCUAUCAAUCACAGAGAGAUCAAGUCCUUGCCUGAAGAUGUGCAUAUAAAGAUACUCCAUACAGCAGCAUGCCUUGAAGGAGCUUGAUGGUAAUUUCACAGAUGCUAAAUAUAUUAAUGUGAGUUCAGGUAGACUGGCACGUUUCUGAAGUCUCAGGUAUUUCAAGACAAAACCUUCUAUUUAUUUAUUUAUUUUAAUUAUUACUGUGAUUCUCACAGGAAUAACUGUAAUGCAGGAACAAAAGACUUGCCUGACUUUUAGAUCUGCAAAUUUCUAAACUUUGAAUAUUGUCCUUUUAUAUGUUGAGUAGGGUUGUGUGGGAAUUCUAUGUUAGGUGCUUUCAUCAAAGAAAUGGAAAACUGAUAAUGAAUCCUUGCCACUAGUGCAAUUUACUUAUUAAUUUACUGAGGAAUCAUCUCUUAAUCUGAAAGUCAUAAAAUUUAAAUAAAAAAACUUUUAAUAUUGAGAAUGGACCCAAUUACCCUAUAAGCAGCUGAUAAUUUUGAAUGCGGUUUGGCACAGAUACCCAUGCACUACCUUCCCUCACUUUCCUUUCAUACAAAUAAUGAGCAUUGCACUAAAUUGCAAAUAUGCUUUUGUCUUUUGCUCAAGCAAAAGAGUAAGAGUUGACUUUUAGCCUGCUCUUGAGUGUGAUGUUCCUGAGUUCACUGCUUGAUUUAUUUGCAGAUAUGGCAAACUGAGAAGAUACAUUUAAAAUACUUCUGGUUGUUUUUAUGUACAAGAAUCCCAGCCAUGAAGGAAUCUGAACUAGAAGGAGGAGACAGGAGUUCCUGGCCACACGCUUUUGUUAACAUCAGUAAGCCAUUGCCAUAGGAUUGAGUGAAGAUGCACCACCUCAGGAAUUUUAGAUAAAAGGUCACAGCUUGACACCAAGUACAGGGCAUUUAUAUGCAUCCAUUCCAUUUCACAGGGUAUCCACUGUCUCCAGGCACAGCUGCAGGACUCUUCAUGUAUAAAUAAAUAACCUGCUGUAAGACAGAUUAUGUUCCUUGGAUAUCAAUCACUGGUAAAUACCGUGUUACUACUUACGAUGUAAGAAUACUAAAUGGAAACUCACGAAGAUUUCAGAUUGCCAUUAUAUUUACAGUCCUGGGGCUUACUGCUGAGAGCUAUUGGAUGUGUUUGCCUCUGAAUACGGGCUGAAAGCUGUGCUGGGAUCUCAUUUCUAGCUUGCCUCUCAGAUUUUCAAAUCAAGGAAAAAGUGAUUAAAAGAGACAGAGGGAUCAAGGUGCUUUAGACUUGUCCAUAUGAAGAGAUGGACUAUCCAAGGAAGGCACAUGGACCUUAACAGAGGAACUACUGCCUGAGGAGAAGCUGGCCAUGGGCAGUCAGCAACAUGAGCAGCCUGGUGUGGAGCUUCCAAGAGAAUGGUCACAGUUUUGCAAAGAAAUAGCACACCUCAGAAGAGAUGCUUGUAAAACGGUAGAAGCUGAAACUAAAGCAAGAGCAGAAGUCUCCUCCUUUUCUCCUUGAAAUUCUUUUGGAAAGAACACUUUUGACUCUCAUUUUAUAAAGGAGUUGGGAAACUGUGUUGUUUAACAGAGGAAAAGUGAAUAAUUGAGAAACCUUGCUUCCUUUUCUCAUGGAUGUGAAUGCCAACAGUAGCUAAUCAAUGAGGAGGAGACCAGGAGACCUGCAUCUGUUGAUUUUUGUUAAGCAAUGGAAGAAAGAAAAGAGAAAAAAGUGGUUUUCUCCUUUGUUUCCGUUGGAAAAAGGAACAGCAAGUAAACUGUGAUGUAACAUCACUAAUAUCGGUCAUAGAAGAGGAUAUAUUAAAACAACAUAAUUCCAGAUGUUCAAUGAAGAUUGGCUAAUUGAAAAUCCAGUUGCAAAAAAAUGUGCCCUCAGGACUCUUUUUGUCACUGCAGUUCAUCAUGUGGAGUGGUAACUUUUGUUUCUUCUCAAUAUUAAUAAGGGGAUCCAUUUUAUUUCCUAAAAAUGAGUUAAAGAUGAUGAUUUUCUCUUUUUAAAGCAAGAAAGCAGAAAAAAAAAUAUUAGAAAAGGACAGGUCUAGAACUGUUAUUUGGGCAUCUUUCAGUCUGUGAGGAGGACCCCUGUGGUGUUGUAUUCAGAGACAUUUUUUCACUGUCUCUAAGUGAAUCUUUUCUCAAAGAUCUAAAUUUCAGUUGUCAAAACUUUCUUCUUUUAGAUAUAGCAACAGAAGACUUUAAAACCAGGGGAAUAACCUUUGGCUUGAAUUUAAAUGCAUAUCUCCAGGGAUUAUAAAUGCAAAUCAGACUACUUUCUGCCCAACAGAUUUUGCAGGUAAUAUAAUAUAGUUUAGAAAUUCUUUUCAGAGCCACCUUUGCCUGAUCCACCACCACACACACGCUUGAGUAAGGUGAAAGAAGAAACCUCAGUACUUCUGAAGACCUCAGUACUCCAGACAGAAACUUACAGCAUUCCCUUGCACUGAUUCUUGUAUUUCACCCCACAUCAGUUCUGCAUGUCUUUGGCAACUGGUGUUUGUUUUCACUUCUCUUGUAAACUGAGUUACUCAUAGCUGUCUGUCUUGGUUUCAUGGUAAACAAAACUUUGCUUCUUUUGCUUUAGGUGGUUUGGUUUAGAAUUCUUAAAGUAUUUUUCUGUUUCAGAAGAGGAGGUCUCUGAAAACAUGGGCAGGUCACCACAAAUUGAUGCUGCAUGACACUUUAGUUGGCUGUGAGUAUGCUGAGGAGCUGUAACAUUAGGGUUGUAUGUGUGUGUAUAUCUCUUUAUAAUAUAGAUCUAUGUAUAGAGUCCUCGUUAUGGCUUGUGUGCGAGUGUGUGCAUACACACACGUUCUUCUCUGUGGGGACCUUUCUAAUUCAUGAAGUGCAACUUUUCACCUGCACAAGAGGUUUCUGGAACCAUGGUUGUUCAUAAAUAGCAUUAUACAUCAAGGAAUGCUAACCAAAUGUCCUUGUAGGCAUUUAUUAUCAUUUUGGUUUCAACUCUGUUGUGCAUACGUUGUGUUCAUCUCAGUAUAAGGACUUCUGUAGCAUUGGCUGGUGUUAGAUAUCAGGCAGAAGUUGGCCUUCCCAGGUGAUGUGCUUCUCUUUCUCAGAAAGCUAAUGCUUUGAAAGAAGCUUUGCUCAGAGUUCCAGCUGCAGUGCCACAGCAGGCACAUAAUACCUUCAAGAAAUGGAAUACUAUGGGGAGCACAUGUUAAAAUGCUUAUGAGAAGGAUGUAUAAGUGUCACUAACUGAAAGAAAUGAAUCAGUUCUUUUUACGUAUAUUGAAAAGGAGCAGGCUAAAACAGCAAUUCUCCCCAUCAUGGAAAGCACAACAGUGAUGUACUGUUUUACCAGACUAGAGAACUAUACAAGCCUUUGCAUGUGUCACACUGCAGUAUUUUUUUUAUUCAGCAUACACAUUAAAUAGGAAAAAAAAACAAAACAAAAAACCCACAACACUCAAGGUCAGACAGACCAAAUAAUGACAGGCAAUACAAAUGCAUUUUUAUACAUAAACAGAAAAGGAGUGGGGAAGGUCUUUCUCAUUAUGCCAAAUAGCAGUCUGGCUAUGAUUUAAUGCAUUUGAAAUUAAGUCUGUCUCUUCAUCUGUACAUUUUUACUAGUCUGCAGAACAGACUGGCAGGCAGUGUGAGCAGAUGCUUCUGGUUGGAUCAGGAUAAAAUUCUUUGUGCUGGCUUUUUGGUCUGAUAAAAUCUUUUGAAUCUUUGUGCAGGAUGACAGCAGCAGUGAGCUUUAGGUGUUUUCCAGAGGAAGCAUUGGACCAAAUAAGUCUACUGGUGUGUCAUCGUAGGGAGUCUGUAAAGGCAGCUUCUGUUUAAACGUCUCUGCUUACUGCAUAGCACCACUGUGGGUGUGUUAUAUAAAUUGCGACAAUGGAGUGUAUUUCAGAUCCUUCAUCUCAGAGGCCAUCUGUCAUUGAAAAUGACACAUUCACCUGCCCAUCACUUCUGCAGCAGCAUGUGUGCUAGACAGGGUACAUCCCUAUGAAGUUAACAACAGGAACAGCUCUUCAUACAGCUGACUUUGGAAAGACUUAGUAAUCAAGUCACUCUUUCAGAUGUGAGCAAACACCACAAAUAGAUCGUUCUUUCUGUCCAAGAGAACACCAAGUGCUUUCUGCUUUGCUUCAGAAAAGAGCAAACUAGUUCCCUGAGGGAUAUUUUUCUACUCAGUAGAAUCCAGCAUCGCCUCCAUGGGCACUUCUCUGCUCUCCCUGACCCACAGCACAUAGGGCCUUUAAUACUGAAAAAUGAAGGUGGGUGUAAGAGCUCUGAUGAACCUGUUUGGACAACAGACAGCAAAAAAAUACCUGUCUCGGUGGAGGAGUUUAAGAGCACUGCAGAGAUCAUCAGACAGUGCAGAAUAUCUUGGCUCACACAGGCCAUUCUCUUUAUCUCAAAACAAUACCAGCCAAGCUCCUCUGUACCUAAAACUGAAGAGCUGCAGGAGCAGGAGGACAGUAACUAAUACAGCUUUUAAAUUUGAAUCUCCUUGUUUCUACUAAGAAAAAAAAAAGAAAAAAGAAAAAAGAUACAUGAAUUCAAAACAAGAUAAGAUAUCUGAUUCCAAGGAAGAAAACUAUCCACAGCAGGUUGAAGCUACAGGGGCAGUCCUGAAUUGUUUCUCUCCAUCAAGCUACUUUACUUCAAAAAGUGGACCUUCAAAAACAGCAAUUCCCAUGGAUCAGUGCUUAAAACGAUGUCAGGGUCUUGCUGAGCCAUUGUUGACCCCCUGGGCAGCAAGGUUGUGCAGAGCAGGAGGACUGCAGUGAACCUCUUCCCGUGUCUCAGGGGAGCCCAGUGCUGAGUGUGACAAAACCCUUCAGGGGGACGUAACACAGUGGAUGAUUGAUUGUACCCGCCAGCUGGCUAAUAUCAUAAUUAACAAAGUUGCUACCAUGUCUGAGAAGUUUAAUCGAAAAAAUUGCCGGCAGUAUGAUGCCAUUGUCACAGAGAUCAGAAGCGCUGCAGUGUUGACUUUUGUACUGGUGGAGCCGCAGGACUAUGUAGAUGUGCUGAGAAGUCUUUCGCUAGGAUAACUAAAGUGAGAUGUGAUUGCAGACAGCACACUGGGCUGUGGUAGAACUGACCAGUGGCACCUUGCCUUUGCUCUGCUCGUUCCCGCCGGAGCAGCUGUGCCACGGGGACGCCGAACUUCAGAGCCGCUGCCUGCGAUGAACCUUCACAUGCAGGAAUGUUGGCAGGAGAGUGUGGAAGCACAUCAGCAAGGUUUAGCUGGUGGAUCAUAUUGUGAAAUCUGCAGCCAUGAAAGGCCCUCCAUUUACUGCACCCUUCAAAACGAAAUGUUAGCAUGGGAGGGUAAGCUGGAGGCUAAUAACGAAGGAGUCAGUGAAGGAGACCGAUGCCACAAGGGUUAUCUCACAGCCCCAGAUGCUGGAUAAGUUGAAGCAGAAUCGCUUUUGGAUGACAUUCAGGAAGGCCUUGAAUGAUUAUCUUGCGAAAAAAAGACUAUUCUUUCCAAGGGUUUUUUUCCCUCUCGAUGCAGCAAUGAUCUCUCAGGAAUCCUUUUUGAGACAAAGGAUCACUCCACAUCCAACCAUACCUAAGGAAAUGCUUUGAAGGAAUUGAGCAGCUCGCUUUUAAUCACAAGAGAGAAAGUACCCACAUGGAGUCAACAGAAAAUGAAAAAGUAGAGCUCGUGCUGCGAAUAAUUCCAACAAGUGCCAAGGGGCUAGUUGAGAAAUAACUUCAUGAGGUGAAUAUCUUUAGCUCUUACUUAGGGUUUAGUUACUGUAUGAUAAUUUUCUCUUUUAGGAGCAAUGAAUAUCAUAAGCGUAUUUCCUAACUAAAUAGCUCUCUGAAUAUUUGUCAAGAUGUUGACAGAUUUCAGUCUUAUUGUUGUUAUUUUUUGCAAUGAAUUUAGCACCUGCAGACCUACAGAAAUCAAUUCUAAUAAAAAGCUCUCUGAGUCAGGCUGUCAGUAGAAGUCAGUCUGUGUCUGAAACCAUAUGUGUCAAUAUAUGUUUGAGUCUACCUGUAUGUGUUUUCGUGCUUUCAUGAUUUAAUGUCUGUAGUUCGGGAGGAUAACACGCAAAAAUAACCAGACAAAUGUAAGAUUUCGAAUGCUGUCCCCACCCUUCAGAAAGUGUGUCCCAUUGUGUUGGAGGGGUUUAAUAUCCAAUCAUUACAACAAAAGGAAAAAGAAAUUAUGUCACUGAUAACAUCCUAACCUUUCCCCUUUGGGCCUCUCAUCCAAAUUCAUUGGUUUCAGUACGAAAUUAGUUUGGUGACCUUUUUGUUUGAUUUAUUUAACCUUCCUCUCCCAGUGGAUGGGAAUGGGACCUUCCCUUCUUUUUUGUUUCUGGGCAUUUUUCUUCCAUGCGCUUACCUUUCUCCUGGGGUAGGAUCACCCCUAGGAAUGCCACUUCCCUUUUGUUCACUGUUGUGGGUACUGAUCUUGUCCUUGGUAGCUUGUUCCUGGGUACCCCCUAGGCAAGGACAGUGGCAGGGAGCAUCACCCAGCUCCAGUGGGAAAGAGAAGGGGAGGCUGCAGGCCUGCUACUUUUAUAUCUGGAUAAUUUGGCAGAGGCUGUGGGGGAAUCCCUGGGCAGUGAAACCCAGAGCAGUGGCAGGUCAAAGACAUUUGCCCCUCUUAUAUAUUGUGUUUCUGCUGGACUGCUUAAGUCCACUUGUGAAUCCUGUUUCCCACCUAAUGGAGCUGCAUGGAAACAAUGUACCAGUCUUGACUGAGCCCCUUUUAGAAGUGUGACUGCACACAGUUUAAAAUGGUCCAUCUGCAGCAUCAUUCAGGGUAGGGAGGGAAGAAGAAGAGGGCAGAAUUAGGCAAGCCCAAACACUUCCCAUCCUGUUCUCCAUGUCAAGUCACUAAGUUGGUUUUUGGAAUAGUUUCCAGCACAAAGUUAUCUCCGUAAAAAAAAAAAAAAGGAGUGACGGUGCAUAAGCAUCAGUCUUGAGGAGCACAGGAAAAGCCCAGAUUCUUAAGCCUGCAAUAUACUUUUUAGUUUUCACCUUCUUCCACAAAUGAAACAGGGCUGGGAGAGGUGAGCAGCUGUGUUUAUUUUAAUACGUCUAUUUUAACCCGCACCUAAAAACAAAUUGGAAGGUUUGGGAGUGCAUUAAUCUGGAUCCUAUUAGUGUCUCUUUCUCCCUCAAAAGUGCAACCUGAGAUUAAUUAAUGUAAACCAGAGUUUCAUAUGCAGUCUUUAAGUCAUUUGCAUGUUUUAUGCAUGAUAAUUGAAUUUAUUUAUGCACUUCCUUUCAUUUAAUGAUUUCUCACUCUUUUCUAUGCUAUCAACAUUAUAUUAUGCAAGACAUAGGAUUUGGUAGGCAAGAAAGGAUACAGUAUAUAAAUCAAAUCUGAGUUAAUUUUUAGUUCUAGUGUCAACACUAGAUCAGAAUUAAUAUUGGUCCCAUGUCAAUGGGGUUAUAUGGCUGGGAAAAUGUUAAAUAUUUUUGGUAAAGCAUAGAUUCUUAGCUUAACGAAACAUUUCUGAUGCAGCCUAGUUUGCUUGCAAGUGUACAAGCAAAAUUAUUUUUGAAUGGCAGUUAAAUUAUUGUAUUGACUUUUCAAUGACCCUAGAGACUUAUGUUUCUACUUGGCCAAUUAGUAGUAAUAAGAAGAUGAAUAGUAAUUACAUUAAUAAGUAACUGUGUUCAGACCAGGACCUUGGUAUUGUGCUCUGGCUUAGAAAAUAAGGGUAUAUUAUAAUUUGUCUCAUUUGGUCUUUCAUCUGGAGAAAUAUGGACUUUGGAGUUAUAGUGAAUUUAUCAUAGCCAAGAAGGUAAAAGUCCUAGGGAUGAAUAGGUCAUAUGAGAUAGCAGCUCUGUGGUAGUGGCUGUUUCAGUGCCAUAAGCAUGGAAUCUUUCUUUGUUUCUGCAAUUAAGCUCAGAUGUCUUAAAGAUGUCUUAGUGAUGGAGUCUGAUUUUUUUAUAAUGCAUAUCAGGAAGCUACUAUGGAAAAUAGUUUUAAAAAGAUGCUGGUAGUGGUGCUUUCAUAGCAUUUAUCAUUGCCAGUUUCUUUCGUGUCUCUUGUCUUUCCUUAUGUCUUGAAAGAUGUAUGUGGAAGUGAUAUUUUUCUGUGGUGUCCUGUCUUUUAUCAGUGAAUUAAAUGGUUGUGUCUUGUGAUCGUUUCUUGAUUCUCGUAGGUAGGAAUGUGUUUAAAGGCUAAAGUUCUUUUAAUUUGUAGUGUAACCAUUUCGGUGUCUUUCUUGUCAUUGAAAUGUAGUUUAAAAUGCUCAGUAAUGUAGCAUGAAAUCAUUGGUUAGUUUUGGAAUGGUGGUGAAAUCAUGUGAAGAAAAUAAGUAUUGCAUCUGAUCAAGAUAAAUUCACUCUAGUGUUUUAUGGCUUUUUAUUCCUAUGUGAUAGUAAUAAAGUCUCAUGUAGGGAUGGAAGCCAUGAAAUACAUUGUGAAAAAUCAUCAACUCAGAUGGGGCCAUCAGGAUAGCAUGCUGUAGUUGUAGAGUUAUUGAGAAUGAUUGGAAGACGAUUUAGUAUGUCACCACUUUGACCACGUUUUUGCAUUUUGUUUCUUCAUCCUUCACCCACGUAGUUUGCUGAGAGGAAAUCAGUUUGUAACAAGCCAAUCCAAUUUUACAUCAAUGUUCAGUGUUUAAAUUGUUCAUACAUCUUUCAUUUUCUGCCAAAGAUAACACUGUAUAUGAAACCCUAAGCUAAGAAUUUAAUAUAGCUAAUAAACACAUGCCAAAAUGAAUGCAAAGAAGAGUUGAUGAAUUUCUAAAUGCUUGGAAACUAAGCAAGUUCUACCCUGUUAGCAGCUGGUCCAGCUUCUUUAUUUUCAUGUUUGAGAGCAAAUCUGAGGGAUGAUUCAGGGAUUUAAUCCCUGUACUCUUUUACAUGGGCUCCUGUACUUUUCUCCAUUUCUCUGCUUGCGUGUCCUUCUGAAAAUGCAUGUUCUUUUGCCUCUCUGGAGCUGAGAUAAAGGCUGACAAUGUUGGGGUCAGAAAACAAUUUCUGACAAUUUCUUUACAGUGCUACUGCCUUACUGCUUUGUCUUCUUUUCUUUUGAAUACCAAUUUCCUUUGUGAAUAUUUUGGAGAAUGUUAUUUAUUCUGAUGCAACUAUUUACAAUUUUCCUGUUGUAUUAUUUCUCUGAAGCCUAUGUUAAUAAAACAUUAUGGAUUUUUUGCUA